rnacentral:tRNA from 1 species
GGAGAUGUGGCGAAACUGGUAGCCGCACUGUCUUGGAAAGGCAGCGGGAGAAAUACCCUUGGGGGUUCGAGUCCCUCCAUCUCCG